AACAUACUUAUUUAGAAAACCAUAUUAUCAAAUUUUUGCCACCAAGGCACACAUUAGGGCCAUUAACAUGUUAAAAAAACGUUGUGGAUUUUGAUUUAGUAAGUUUCAACAGUUCAAAACUUUUUCUUUAUUUUGAGUUUAUGACAGUUUCUGCUCCCCCUUGAUAUAGUCCAAAGAAAACAAGAACGAGACAAUUUCACUGCUUGAAAUUAUCACAGAAUAUUCUUCAAAUAGAGAGAAAAAUUCACAGAAAUUUUCGAAAAUAUUACAUCGAUUUGUUGAAUAACUGAAAAAUCAAGUGUGGCAGCAAGUUUGCAACACUGUAAAUUGAGGUGCACCGUUUCUGAGUUUAGUCAUUGACAUAUAAUACGCACGGAUUUCAAGUUAAAGAACAAAAAAAAAUGGAUGUCAUCAGUAAGAAGGAUCUCAUCGAGACAGUAACCCGACAAGAAGAGGAAUUGAAACGAUACAAGAAGCGUUUUCAAGAUGUCGUCACCGCUCACAAAAAUCUCAUCAAAGAAAAAGAAGCACUGGAGUUGAGUUUGAAGAUCAUGACUGACUCUGUAGGUACAACAAAACCACAGCUUGGAUCAUCUGCUACAAAACAGGAAGAACCUUCUGAGGAGGAGAAAGAUACAGAUGUCCAUCUGUAGAAACUCAGGUAAAUUCAAUGUGAUAUGAAAAAUUUUUCUUAAGUCUCCAACAUUCAAGUUUUUUAAGAUUGAACAUCUUUACAAUCAACUAGUA
rnacentral:lncRNA from 1 species